rnacentral:rRNA from 1 species
GAUGAACGCUGGCGGCGUGCCUAAUACAUGCAAGUCGAGCGAACAGACGAGGAGCUUGCUCCUCUGACGUUAGCGGCGGACGGGUGAGUAACACGUGGAUAACCUACCUAUAAGACUGGGAUAACUUCGGGAAACCGGAGCUAAUACCGGAUAAUACAUUGAACCGCAUGGUUCAAUAGUGAAAGACGGUUUUGCUGUCACUUAUAGAUGGAUCCGCGCCGCAUUAGCUAGUUGGUAAGGUAACGGCUUACCAAGGCAACGAUGCGUAGCCGACCUGAGAGGGUGAUCGGCCACACUGGAACUGAGACACGGUCCAGACUCCUACGGGAGGCAGCAGUAGGGAAUCUUCCGCAAAGGGCGAAAGCCUGACGGAGCAACGCCGCGUGAGUGAUGAAGGUCUUCGGAUCGUAAAACUCUGUUAUUAGGGAAGAACAAAUGUGUAAGUAACUAUGCACGUCUUGACGGUACCUAAUCAGAAAGCCACGGCUAACUACGUG